UGCUGCAAUGGGCGCAGCCUGAUGCAGCGACGCCGCGUGAGGGAUGAAGGCCUUCGGGUUGUAAACCUCUUUCAGUAGGGAAGAAGCGAAAGUGACGGUACCUGCAGAAGAAGCGCCGGCUAACUACGUGCCAGCAGCCGCGGUAAUACGUAGGGCGCAAGCGUUAUCCGGAAUUAUUGGGCGUAAAGAGCUCGUAGGCGGUUUGUCGCGUCUGCCGUGAAAGUCCGGGGCUUAACUCCGGAUCUGCGGUGGGUACGGGCAGACUUGAGUGAUGUAGGGGAGACUGGAAUUCCUGGUGUAGCGGUGAAAUGCGCAAAUAUCAGGAGGAACACCGAUGGCGAAGGCAGGUCUCUGGGCAUUAACUGACGCUGAGGAGCGAAAGCAUGGGGAGCGAACAGGAUUAGAUACCCUGGUAGUCCAUGCCGUAAACGUUGGGCACUAGGUGUGGGGGACAUUCCACGUUUUCCGCGCCGUAGCUAACGCAUUAAGUGCCCCGCCUGGGGAGUACGGCCGCAAGGCUAAAACUCAAAGAAUUUGACGGA
rnacentral:rRNA from 1 species